UCAGUGCUGUUGUGUGCAUGCACAUGUAGUAGUGUGUGUACACACUUGUGUUACAUGCAUGUGGUCAAGUAUGGGUGCAAGGGGUCGGGGGGGGGCAGUAGGAAGACUUUUUAGUGCUGCUGGUUGCCUCCAAAGGGAGGCACUGGAGUAUAACAAGAUCAGAUAGGAGUGUGGGCCAAGAGCUAAGAAUAGGGUUGGGUACAGGUUUCAGGCGCAGGUUCCUGGCUCAGGUGCCAGGCAGGAAGUCACUGGCUAGAGACAGAGAACAGAACUGGACUGGGGCAGUGGAGCCCAGGUUUCUGGGGAAUGGGGCAGAGCCCAGCUCAGGUCAUAAACCAAGCUGAGAGGAGGCAUCUUGGGGAGAGGCGAGGGUUAGGACCCAGGGUACUACAAGCCAAGACCAGGAGGUGAGCACCGUGCUUAGAGGAAGCCCCAUCUCACCUCCAUGGCCUUCUUGGUGUCCGGGACCCUGCAGGUGGCUGCACAGCUGGCGGAUGCUCAAGACAGCCUGGGGAGAAAGGUAAGAGGUUCCAUUUGGUCCAGCCCGCUCCUGACACCCAGAUGUGUCCUCUGCCCAGCUCAGCUCUGACCUUACCUCCCCAGGGGAAGUACAGUAUGCAUGGGUCAUGGGUGGCCCUGACACUCAGCAGCCCUAGGGUGUCUGCCACUACUGUUGCUGCCCUGGACCAUGUGUUCCAAGCCCUGGGCUUUGAAAAUCAUAAGAAGAAUGAGGUCUCGGUCCAGGGCAUCGUUGAGGAGCUGAUUCAGUUCCAAGAUCAGCUGGAUGCCCAGGGGGGCCCUGUGAGCUGUGCCCUUGCAGCCUUGGUGGCCCCCAGUAGACAGCUGAGGCAGCCGCUGCCACUGGUCCAGGAGCUAAGUCGUUGUGAGGCCUUGCAGGGCUGCCCCAAAGUUUUCCUGCUGCUCUCUAGUGAUCCUGGGGGAAACAGAGAUGCUGGGGUGGAGCCACCAGCUCUCCCCUGGUACUGGCACUGGUUCUGCGCACCUCGAGCCACCCCUUCCCAGGCAGCUGUCCUCCAGAUCCAUGUGCAUACCCGAGGCUCUGUAGCCUAUUGGGACGAGAAGGGGUCAGACUUUGUCCAGAUGCUGGUGGAAGUCGUCAGAGCCAACCCUGGGGGAGACCUUCUGGAGCUGCUGACAGAGGUGUGAGUGGUGGGUGAUCAGCAGAGAAGGCUGGCUGGGGCCUUCUCCCAGCCCUGGUGUUCUGAUCACCUCAGGUCAAUCCUUUGGUCAACAGGCGGGUGUGUGAGCUGGAAGUGCUGGGCCCUGACAGCGAGAAGCGAUGCUCCCCGAAAGGCCUUCCUGGAGAUACGCAGCUCACUCCGGCGCCAGCUUUGCCUGCAGGCCUGACCGCCCUGCUUCAUCCACAGCAUCCAGCUUCCUCUGCAGCAUCCAGCUUCCUCUGCAGCAUCCAGCUUCCUCUGCAGCAUCCAGCUUCCUCUGGGCUACCAGUCUCCGCGCUUUGGACGCGGACGCCUAGAUGAUGCACAAUAAACAUCUGUUGAUGGUCGCUGCUUUGGGACAGUAGUUGGUCUUGGAGAUCUGUAAAUAAGUGAGAUGAUGGAUGUAAAGUACUUGGCACAACUGUGCCCCUGGGAACUGUGCCCCUUGUCUGGGUCUAAGAAAUACAAUGAGCUGGGCUGAGCUGGACUUGGGAGUGGCUCAGGGCCCACAUUCCCCUCGCAGCCUUGUCCCCAGUCUCCACCUGGUGCUGGGCCUCUGCCUUCCCGGCAGGUCCAGCCCAGACGGUCAGAAAGAGACCAUCACAGAUUCACCAGUGCCGCGAUGGGACAAACUCAGGGCCGGGGGAGCGGUGGGCAGUCCUGACACAGGCAGCGGGCAAGUAGGGGAGGAGAUGGGAAAGGUAGGGGCGACUAGGUUCACCGGACGCCGAGCGGUCCUUGAAGACUGCGCAGAACUUCCGGACUCAGAGCCCUGAGGGGCGGGAUUUCAGUCUGAACCAGCCUGCUGGGGCGUACUGCGCAGGCGCUCAAACAAGCUUUAUGGAGAAAGCUGUAAGCCAAACCAAUGUGGGGCCGCGUGGCCUAAUGGAUAAGGCGUCUGAUUCCGGAUCAGAAGAUUGGGGGUUCGAGUCCCUUCGUGGUCGCUGCGGAGUGGUUUUUUUCUUGUUGUUGUUGUUUUUUUUUUCUU